rnacentral:rRNA from 1 species
AUUGAACGCUGGCGGCAUGGCUAAAGCAUGCAAGUCGAACGGACCCGCAAGGGUCAGUGGCGAAAGGGUCAGUAAUACGAUCGAACGUACCCUGAGGUGUGGGAUAGCCGCGGGAAACUGUGGGUAAUACCACAUGUGCUCUACGGAGGAAGGCCGCAAGGCGCCUCGGGAGCGGCGAUCGUCCUAUCAGGUAGUUGGCGGGGUAAUGGCCCACCAAGCCGAAGACGGGUAGCGGGUGGAGAGCACGGCCCGCGACAUCGGGACUGAGACACUGCCCGGACUCCUACGGGAGGCUGCAGCGACGAAUCUUCCGCAAUGGGCGAAAAGCCUGACGGAGCAAAUGCCGCGUGCGGGAU